rnacentral:rRNA from 1 species
GACGAACGCUGGCGGCGUGCCUAAUACAUGCAAGUAGAACGCUGAAGGAGGAGCUUGCUUCUCCGGAUGAGUUGCGAACGGGUGAGUAACGCGUAGGUAACCUGCCUGGUAGCGGGGGAUAACUAUUGGAAACGAUAGCUAAUACCGCAUAACAGUAGAUGUUGCAUGACAUUUGCUUAAAAGGUGCAAUUGCAUCACUACCAGAUGGACCUGCGUUGUAUUAGCUAGUUGGUGAGGUAACGGCUCACCAAGGCGACGAUACAUAGCCGACCUGAGAGGGUUGAUCGCCCCCAUGGGAACUGGACACGGCCCAGGCUUCUACGGGAGGGAGCCGGAGGGGAUUUUUGGGCAAGGAAGGAAGUCUGACCGGGGCAAGGCGGGUGAGGGAAGGAGGUUUUCGGAUCGUAAAGCUCUGUUGUAAGAGAAGAACGAGUGUGAGAGUGGAAAGUUCACACUGUGACGGUAUCUUACCAGAAAGGGACGGCUAACUACGUG